AAGUAAUCGAGUAUAAUCUCAAAUAUGAUUUAAUGACUAGUAAACACUGAUUUGCCCAUUUAAAAUUACUUUAUUUAGAUUUUACGAAUGAUUUUGCGUCGCAAAAUAAUAGGAGAUUGGCUCUAUUUAAUGGGGGUGUAUUAAACAGUAUUGGAGCUCGAUUGUAAUUCCUUGUCGAGCGGGAACCAAAAGUAGAAGCUAGCAAACAGGAUUAUCUUGCUGUGGAGUUGAUAUCCUGCUGUCAUGGACUGGGACCAGAAUGAGUUGCUGUCGCCUAUUGUACGGGAUGCUGAAGUGACCAGAGCAGCACGCCGAAAGAGUUCAGUUCAGAAGAAGGCUCAAUUCAACUUCCUUUCUCCUCGUGAUGACAACCAAGGUAGUACCACCACACCUGCCCGUUCCCUGCUCUGCCACACACCUGGAUCCCUCUUCAAACAGUCCUUCACCCCGAAGACUGCUGCUAGGAACCCAGAUGUGUCAGCCAUCUUGGCGACAGGGCGCAGGACUCCUCGUUUCAUCCAUACACCACGACCUCCCCUUGGCAGUAUGAGCAUGAACCUGGAUGACAGUGACUGGACGAACAGCCUGUACCCGUCUCCUCUGUCCGGGCUGGGACUGGGGGACACCAGCUUUACUGACGACAUCAACAUGUCCUCUGUAAUGCUGAAGGAGGAGGAUCCUGGAGAGGCUGCGUCAGUCAGUCUGUUCUCAGAGUUCCUCCAGUCCUAUCUCAGACACUCCUCCACUGCUGUCUUUGACCUGCUGGAGGAGUAUGAAGCCAUCUGUCAAGAUAAGGUGGGCAUGCUCCAGAGGCUGGUAUCGAGGGCAGCACCAGGACAACAGAAGUCCUCUAAGACUGCUGGUAUGAGAUGGCUUUUACAGCAGGAGAUGGUCACCUGGCGCCUCAUCACUUCUCUAUACAGAGACAGGAUCCAGUCAGAGCUGGAGGAUGACAUCAUGGUGGAUGUGGCUGCUCCCGGUGUUAGUGAGAAGGUGGUGAUGGAACAACUCUUCCAGAGAGAUGCUGUAGUACGCCAGAGUCAGCUGGUUGUGGAUUGGUUAGAGAGUAUCGCCAAAGAUGAAAUCGGGGACUUCUCUGACAACAUUGAAUACUAUGCCAAGUCUGUCUACUGGGAGAAUACCCUUCAUGUUCUGAAACUGAGGAGAAACACAUCCAGCACAGGAUUCAAUGUUCCCCUGGUUACUGAGCUGGGACCCUGACGCCCCGUCAGACAGAGAGACGUCCUCUGGCAGACCUGGACAGAGAGGAUGAUGCCAGACUGCUGAAGUACCUGUUCACCCUCCUCCGGAGCGGGCAUGACUGACGAGGCCCAGAGGCUGUGUAAGCGCUGUGGCCAGGCAUGGAGAGCUGCUACUCUGGAGGGGUGGAAGCUGUACCACGACCCCAACAUCAACGGAGGCGGUGCAGAGCUGCUACCGGUGGAGGGGAACCCUCAGCGCUGUGUAUGGAAGGUGUGCUGCUGGAGGAUGGCUGAUAAUGAACACUUCAGCAGAUAUGAGAGAGCCAUCUACGCUGUUCUGAGUGGGAACCUCAAACGGUUGCUCCCAGUGUGUGAGUCGUGGGAGGACAGUGUGGGCCUACUUCAGGGUCCUGGUAGACUCUCUGGUGGAACAGGAGGUCCGGUCCUCAGGAAUGGGCAGCGAGGAGCUGGAGGAGCUGCCACGAGAAUACCUGGAGGCCAACUGGACACUAGAGAAGGUGUUUGAGGAGCUGCUGGCAACAGAGUCAAAGAAAGUCCUGGAAGAGACUAAAGAACACUACCACAUCAUCCAGAAGUUAGUAAUCCUGGGUGACCUGGACGGUCUGUUGGAGGAGUUCAGUAACUGGUUAACCAGGAGUCCUGCUCUGCCCUCUCACCUGCUGCGCUUCAUGACUCACCUGCUGUUGUUCUACCGCAGCCUGGGCAUGCAGCUCAAGGAGGAGGUAUCAGUGGAUGUCCUGAAGGCCUACAUCUCUCUGUUGAUGAAGGAGAAGCACAUUGAUCUGAUAGCCUUCUAUGUCAGUCACCUGCCUCCAGACCUGGCUACCGCCCAGUACGCUCUCUUCCUGGAGGAGGUCACCGAGGCUGAGCAGAGACAACGCUGUCUGGAGCUGGCCAGGGAGGCAGGUCUGGACGUGGCAGCGGUCACUAAGAUGGUGGUGGAGAACAUCAGAGAGAGAGACACUGAGGAGUUCGCUCAUCAUGACCUCACCCCUGCACUGGACACUGGCACCUCAGCGGAGGACCAGAGGAAGAUCGAUGUGAUUGAUUGGCUGGUGUUUGACCCCGCCCAGAGAGCUGAGGCCCUCAAACAGAGCAACGCCAUCAUGAGGAAGUUCCUGGCCUGUAAGAAGCACCAUGCAGCCAAGGUGGUGUUCGCUAAGGUCCCCGAGGACUCUAUGAGGGAGAUAUACCGCCAGUGGGAGGAGCUAGGCCUGGACACGCCCCUUCCCGCGGAGGAUGAGAACGCCGUCAGGGAACACCUGUGUGUCCGCGCUUACCUGGAAGCUCAUGAGGCGUUUAAUGAGUGGUUCCAUCACAUGAACUCCCCCCCCCAGAAGCCCAGCCUGCCGGCCCAGGCCAAGUUCACUGAGACGGUGGCCUACGAGAUGAAGGAGAACGAGUACCAGCUGGAACAUGACAGCUGGACCGGCCGUCUGGAGGCUCUGACUGAAGACGUGAAGGAGAGAAUCUACAACGUCCUGCUGUUUGUGGACGGGGGCUGGAUGGUCGACGUCCGAGAGGAUACGGAGGAGGACCCAGAGAGAGGUCACCAGAUGGUGCUGCUCCGUAGACUCUGUCUGCCCAUGAUGUCCUUCCUGUUGCAGACAGUACUGCAGAGAACACAACGUCACCAGGAGAGUCUCAGACUGGCUGAUGUCAUCGCCUCAGACCAACACCGUCUCUACGAGGUGUUCUCCAAGGAUGAGCUGAGGAAGUUCCUUCAGAAGAUGAGGGAGUCGUCUCUUCUCUUAUUGGAUAAGGGUCUGGACCCGCUGGGGUACGAGAUCCAACCAUAAAUACACCGCAACCGGACAUUUAUUUUUAUCAUCUAGUUUUUUUGUUGCCAAAUUUAAGAAAUGGAGUGAAUGAUUUUCUGCAUUUUGUAUACAAUAAAAGUGACUUGACUGAAA